rnacentral:misc_RNA from 1 species
GCAUUUUUGUGUUUGGUUUUUGUGUUUUGGCGUGGAAUUGGAAUGCGCCGACUUUUUCACAGGUUGGCCCUUCUAAAAUGUAGUUCUUGGCUGUCACCUAACACAGCAGUUUGGCCUAAUAGUUUUGGCAUUUCUUGUCAAAUCUUUGGCUAACAUUUGCUCCAGGAGUCAGUCUUGAUGAUACAGAAAAACUCUUUCAAA